UGAACACGUGGAGGCAAACAGGAAGGUGAAGAAGAACUUAUCCUAUCAGGACGGAAGAUCCUGUGCUCGGGAUCUUCCAGACGUCGCUGCUUACUUCACCCAGGGCUAGGGGUAGCAGGUGCUCCCUGGAACUUGGCAAACAUCCUCAUAUUGGGAGGAGCUUGGCUGGUUUUCCUUGAUCUCCCUCUUCCCAGUGUGUGGCUCUUGACAACUGAUUGGACCCCAGACUUAAGCUCUGCAGGCUACAUCUCAGGGUGUUUCCUGUGAAAGUUCCAGAAGAAAGCUGUAUGGUCAGCUUGGGGAAAUAUGUGGUUCAUGCUGGAAUGCUGGACAUACCACAUUAUUGGAAAGAUGCACAUUGAAUGACCGACAAAAUGAAACUCAACUUUCCAAAUGCUGGUAAUGAGAGAAGAUUCUGUUCUAAUGACCAGUUGUUUCCUGAAAGAAUGUCAGCUCGAUUCAUAAUGAAUGCAUUCUAACCAUGACAGCCACAGUCAGGACACAAAAAACAAAGUGUCCUUGAUCCCAGGAAACAGCCCUCUGGAGUCUGUGAAAUCUAGAAACUAGAUUGGGAAAACUCUGACACCCCUGCCCCAUGACCAACCAAGACUAAGAGUCCCAGGAAGAUUGAGGUCACAGAAGGCAGAGGCCUGCCCCCUCUCCAGGAGAUCCCUGACCCAUGUGGGGUCAUGGGCGGGGCAUGAGUGAUGUGAUGGGAAACUGGCUCCUGGCUCCAGGUAGAACGUGACCAACUGGAGCCUGACAGGAGGUCCCUGGCACUGGUCAGCCCAUCAAACCAGAAUGAUGACAGUAUGCAAUGACUCAGAAUCAUCACACUCACAGAGACUACUUUGUAUUUUUUCUUGCAAAUGAAGAGACAAUAUGCCCAAAAAAUGAGCUGAAAAUGGCUCAUGAAGGGAGGGAAGAUGACCUCCAGCACACCAGGGCAGAGUGGGGGCCACAUGAAGGUGCAAGAGUGGGAGGGAACCACAACGCCUUGGCAGAGAGGAGAGCAAGUGGGGGCCAAGCCACAAAGCUCUUCAAGGCCAGUCAACGGUGAAACCUGAAGGAGUCCCAUCCAUCCCCAAGUCUGCUUGAGUUAAAGCCCUGCACCCUCACAAGCAGCUGGAGGGAGGGGAGGAAAGAUAUUUUCAAAAGAGCCAUCAUAUAUGGGGUGUGGGAAAGAAAAACUUGCUGCGUCUAACACCAGAGAGCCUCUCCAAGCCAAGCCAUCUGCCUCAGGGCAAAGGAGGGAAUGGAAGCGGGAGAGAAGGGUUUGGAGCCAGCUCUCAGCAACAUGUUUCUAUCUGGAGAAAUGAGCUGAGAAGAUCUGAAUCUUCUCCAGUCUGUUCUGCAAAUGUGGGAUAAUCGGCCCCUGGCCCAAAGGCUGGUGCUCACAGCGUGGCUCUGGCAUUACCCAGGACUUUGGUUCUUGGUGAUGGGGAAGAGGACAAAUUUGGAAGCCAGAGAAGCUAGGGCUGGAUGGUCUGGAGGAAAACCUCCACUUCUCUCAGACUGUUUUUUCUGAGGAAACAGAUGAUUGCAACCUCAGAGGUUGGGAGGAUGAAAUGAUGUAAUGCAUCUGGAGCUGCUCUGUAAACUGUAAAAUGCUAUGCAAACAGUGCUUGUCAAUGUGUUUACAUAUAUGGGUGAGUUAACAUAGUCUGACAGACUGGACGCCAAACUCAGAGUCCAAGGCAAUGGGGCAUUAUAUUCUGUGCCUUAGCAUCUGGAAAACAUGAUGAAAUUGGAAAUGCA
rnacentral:sRNA from 1 species